GACGAACGCUGGCGGCGUGCCUAAUACAUGCAAGUCGAGCGGAACACUUGGAGCUUGCUCCAAGCGUUUAGCGGCGGACGGGUGAGUAACACGUGGGCAACCUGCCCUGCAGAUCGGGAUAACUCCGGGAAACCGGUGCUAAUACCGAAUAGUUUGCGGCCUCUCCUGAGGCUGCACGGAAAGACGGUUUCGGCUGUCACUGCAGGAUGGGCCCGCGGCGCAUUAGCUAGUUGGUGGGGUAAUGGCCUACCAAGGCGACGAUGCGUAGCCGACCUGAGAGGGUGAUCGGCCACACUGGGACUGAGACACGGCCCAGACUCCUACGGGAGGCAGCAGUAGGGAAUCUUCCGCAAUGGACGAAAGUCUGACGGAGCAACGCCGCGUGAGUGACGAAGGUUUUCGGAUCGUAAAACUCUGUUGUGAGGGAAGAACAAGUGCCAACUAACUACUGGCACCUUGACGGUACCUCA
rnacentral:rRNA from 1 species